GAUGAACGCUGGCGGCGUGCCUAAUACAUGCAAGUCGAGCGAACAGACGAGGAGCUUGCUUCUCUCACGUUAGCGGCGGACGUGUGAGUCACACGUGGAUACCCUACCUAUCAGACUGGGAUCACUUCGGGAAACCGGAGCUAAUAGCGUAUAAUCUUUUGCACCGCAUGGUUCAAUAGUAAAAUACGGUGUUGCUGUCACUUAUCGCUGGAUCCGCGCUGCAUUAGCUAGUUGGUAGGUUAACGGCUUACCAAGGCAACGAUGCAUAGCCGACGUGAUAGGGGGAUAGGCCACAUUGGAAGUUAGACACGGUCCAGACGACUAAGGGACGCAGCAGUAGGGAAUCGGCCGCAAUGGGGGAAAGCAUGACGGAGUAACGCGGAGUGAGUGAUGAAGGCCUCCGGAGCGGAAAACUCUGUUAUGAGGGAAGAACAGAUGUGUAAGUAAAUGUGCACUUAUUGACGGUAACGAGUCAGAAAGCAACGGCUAACUACGUG
rnacentral:rRNA from 1 species